UAGGGAAUCUUCCGCAAUGGACGCAAGUCUGACGGAGCAACGCCGCGUGAGUGAAGAAGGAUUUCGGUUCGUAAAACUCUGUUGUUAGAGAAGAACAGCGCAUAGAGUAACUGUUAUGCGUGUGACGGUAUCUAACCAGAAAGCCACGGCUAACUACGUGCCAGCAGCCGCGGUAAUACGUAGGUGGCAAGCGUUGUCCGGAUUUAUUGGGCGUAAAGCGAGCGCAGGCGGUCAAUUAAGUCUGAUGUGAAAGCCCCCGGCUCAACCGGGGAGGGUCAUUGGAAACUGGUUGACUUGAGUGCAGAAGAGGAGAGUGGAAUUCCAUGUGUAGCGGUGAAAUGCGUAGAUAUAUGGAGGAACACGAGUGGCGAAGGCGACUCUCUGGUCUGUAACUGACGCUGAGGCUCGAAAGCGUGGGUAGCAAACAGG
rnacentral:rRNA from 1 species